GAUGAAGAACGCAGUGAAAUGCGAUACUUGGUGUGAAUUGCAGAAUCCCGUGAACCAUCGAGACUUUGAACGCAAGUUGCGCCCGAAGCCAUUAGGCCGAGGGCACGCCUGCCUGGGCGUCACACGUCGUUGCCCCCCCAUCUACUCCUUCGGGAUUGCGGGGGGCGGAUGAUGGCCUCCCGUGCGCCUCGUCGCGCGGUUGGCAUAAAUGCCAAGUCCUCGGCGACGCACGCCACGACAAUCGGUGGUUGCGAAACCUCGGUUGCCCGUCGUGUGCGGUCGUCGCGCAUCGAGGGCUCGAAAAAAUUGCCGGGCUCCGGCUCGGCUUUCAACGCGACCCCAGGUCAGGCGGGGUUACCCGCUGAAUUUAAGCAUAUCAAUAAGCGGAGGA
rnacentral:misc_RNA from 1 species